CGUCUAUAUACGUAUAGCAUAUCAAUAAGCGGAGGAAAAGAAACUAACUAGGAUUCCCUCAGUAACGGCGAGUGAAGCGGGAAGAGCUCAAAUUUGAAAUCUUCAAGGUUCUACCUUGACGAAUUGUAGUUUAAAGAAGUGUUUUCUGUUGGAAUUUUGGUAAAGUUCUUUGGAAAUAGGACAUCAAUAGAGGGUGAGAAUCCCGUAUUUGACCAUUAUUUCCAGCUUUGUGAUACGCUUUCGAAGAGUCGGAUUGUUUGGGAAUGCAGUCCAAAAUGGGUGGUAAAUUUCAUCUAAAGCUAAAUACUGGCGAGAGACCGAUAGCGAACAAGUACCGUGAGGGAAAGAUGAAAAGAACUUUGAAAAGAGAGUUAAACAGUACGUGAAAUUGUCAAAAGGGAAGCGUUUGACACCAGUGUUGUUUUCUCGAAAAUCAAUUAAAAAUGCUGGAUUUUGUGUUGUAUUGACUUUAUCAGCUUUCUGCACUUUUUCCUGUCUUUUUUAAUGCACUUUUCGUUUAACAAGUCAACAUCAAUUUCUUUUGUUGUAAAAGGGUCAUUGGAAGGUGGCUUUCUUUUCGGAGAAAGUGUUUAUAGCCUUUGACUUCUGCAAUCGGAGAGAUUGAGGUCUGCAGCGUAGAUCCUUCUGGAUUAGAUACAUUUGUGCUAAGCUAUAGCCUUUCACAGACAACUUGUUGACUAUGAUCAGUCAUGUAGCUUACUCGCUUAUGCUAUUUUACCUACGCUUAGGAUGUUGACGAUCAGCUGAGCGCG
rnacentral:rRNA from 1 species